rnacentral:lncRNA from 1 species
GCCCCCGGGGCGCCGGGUUGGCGGAGGUAGUCCUGUCCCGGAGCGGCCCAGCCUGGCGAUGGCACGUGGGUACCCUGCUGCUUUCGUUCCCGGAUCUGGGCACCUGGUCAGCACCAGCCGGAAGGGAGGCGGCUCUGAGUUGAUGAGAUCUCGGCCCUCCGCUCCCCUUUGUCCCUCCCCCCGGCCAGGCUGGGUGCGCACGUGUCAGUCAGGACCCCGGCCCCGCCUGGCUGCGGGCGGCGCGGGAGACUUGGCCCUGCGACAACCCCCCGCCCCCCACUAGCCCACCUCCCGCAGCUUCCCGGGAAGGAUUCCAGGCUGCUCCACAGAGUUUGCACAACUGGUACCGCAGGCACCCUCCUCCGUCGUCGUCUGGGUCCUCAACAGUCUUCUAGAAGGGGAUAAAGGGCACAUCCGGGUGCGGGGUCAAGGGGGAGAAGGGGCGCCGGAGACUCAGGAAUGUUUGGAGCGCGGACUUGUCCUGCUCCAUCACCUCUCCAUCUGACCAUGCCCUGCGGGUGCCAGAAAACCAACUCUGAGAAACAUGGGGUGCAGUACCUGCUUUGUAAGCAACAACUUCAGUAAAGCCUAUUUUGGGAGCACCACCAUGUUUCAGGCACUAUCCAGUUGCAUUUUUCAGGGCUCUGCAUGCCGAGCCAACCUGCUGCUUCUCGUGCCAUCCUCCUCCGCCCUCCUCAGGUGCCAUCAUCCUGCAGCAGACUUGGAUGCUCUGCAGGAAUGGACUCCUCACUGGAAUUCCCUUCAGGUGCAUGCGUUUCUCAAGAUUCUCCCACACUGUUCCUGUUGCCUGAAUAGCUGUUAAAUUCAUUUUUACUGUUGUAUGCACUGCAAGGUGUAAAUGCAUCCAGACGGAAGCAUCUUUUCAAUAUUAUGACAGGAAAACCUUAUUUUAUUUUCUCAAGUGUAUCUUGGCUAUUCUUCAGUCUUUGUUUUUCCAUAUCCAAGUUAGAAUUAACUUGUCAAGGAGUUCCCUUCCCGUCGUGGCGCAGUGGUUAACGAAUCCGACUAGGAACCAUGAGGUUGCGGGUUCGGUCCCUGCCCUUGCUCAGUGGGUUAACGAUCCGGCGUUGCCAUGAGCUGUGGUGGAGGUUGCAGACGCGGCUCGGAUCCCGCGUUGCUGUGGCUGCAGCUCCGAUUCGACCCCUAGCCUGGGAACCUCCAUAUGCCGCGGGAGCGGCCCAAGAAAUAGCAACAACAACAACAACAAAAUUAACUUGUCAAGUUUCACAAAAGGAAAAAAAACACUUUUGGGAUUUUUGACAGGUAUUAUCUUGAAUCAAUGAGUAAAUUUUUGAAGAACUGAAAUCUUUAUCAUUUUAAAGCUUUCUGUCCUAUUCUGAAUGGGUAACAGUUCUCUAAUUAUAUAGCUCUUUCCUAUUGUUCUUUGAUAAAGUUUUAUAUUUUUUUCAUGUAGAUGAGCACAUUUUUUGUUAAUUUAAUUCUUUUGUUUGUUUGUUUGUUUUUGCUUUGUCCGAAGCAUGCAGAAUCUUAGCCUGAUAUUUUCAAAGACUUGGAACCACUGAGUCAGUUUUUUUCAAUGGUCAUUCAUGCUUUAUAUUUCCUUUUUGAGUUAAUUUGGAAUGUAAUUGUGUGAAAUAACUAACAUAGCAGGCCUGAGAUUGCUUUCCUUACAAAGGUCAACUUGCAUGAUUAGCCUUUGCCUGAUAUCUGAGAACAUGGAUUUGGGAAAAGUUUCCACUUUUUCCCAACCUGAUAAGAGUGACUCAUCUUGCCCAAGCUAUUUGUAGAAACAAUAUGGUUUAAGCCAAUCACCCGCCUUCCUUCUAGAGUCUGGAAUUUGGGGAGAUGCCAGGCAGAGAGUACCUGUAUGACCAGUUCCCAGUGAAAACCUUGGGUACGGAGUCUCUCCAAGGCUUGCCUGGUAGACAGCACCUCACCUGUGUGGUCACAGCUCUUCCCUGGAGGGAUGUCUGACUCCCCUGGGGGAGGAUGCUCGGAAACUUGCGCUAGUUGCCUCCUCCCUCACCCCAUGGCCUCUCCCUUCUACUCGUUUUGCUUUGUAUCCUUUUGCUGUAAUAAAUCAUAGUCAGGAGUGUGACCA